AUUUGCUUCAUUUACUGCUGACAUGGAUGAAUACUGUAACCAAUAUGUUGACAAGGAGGCCUUAUUGUACCUCAUAUUAGCAAAUGAAGUACUACAUGCUCUUCAUCCUAAUGUGAUCACGAUUGCUGAGGAUGCAACUCUGUAUCCUGGACUCUGCGAUCCAACUUCUCAAGGUGGACUGGGCUUUGAUUAUUUUACCAAUCUUUCUGCCUCAGAGAUGUGGCUUGCAUUACUUGAAAAU
rnacentral:misc_RNA from 1 species